CCUACGGGUGGCUGCAGUGAGGAAUAUUGGUCAAUGGCCGUAAUGCUGAACCAGCCAUGUCGCGUGAGGGACGACUGCCCUAUGAGUUGUAAACCUCUUUUGUACGGGGGUAAAGUGGUCUACGUGUAGGGGUUUGCAAGUACGGCAUGAAUAAGGACCGGCUAAUUCCGUGCCAGCAGCCGCGGUAAUACGGAAGAUCCGGGCGUUAUCCGGAUUUAUUGGGUUUAAAGGGAGCGUAGGCUGGUCUUUAAGCGUGCCGUGAAAUUUUGUGGCUCAACCAUGGGAGUGCGGCUAGUACUGGAGACCUUGAGAGCGCAGACGGCAGGCGGAAUGUGUGGUGUAGCGGUGAAAUGCAUAGAUAUUACGCAGAACCCCGAUUGCGAAGGCAGCCUGCUGCAGCGUUACUGACGCUGAAGCUCGAAAGCGCGGGUAUCGAACAGGAUUAGAUACCCCUGUAGUC
rnacentral:rRNA from 1 species